GUAGGCGCAAGAAUCUACCUUAAAUGAAUCGACUAUACACGGUUCCAUCUUGCUUGAAACCAUUACCACUCAGCCUCUUGUCUUAAGCAUUUCCAUGCUGCCUUGCUAAUGCAGUUUCGUACUUUUCCUUCAUUCGUGGUAUAAUCAAAACUACCUUGUUUGCUUCUAGCCUCACUUUUCUUCUCCAUGUUUACAGUUACGUAAUCCAUUACUUGUUUGACAGCUGCCAGAGUAUGAAGGUUGCAAACUUUUCAACUUGACACUUACAAACAUUUUUCUUGUGCUAAAUUUUUGUCUGAUAUACUUAGAAUAUCUAGGUUUUGUUUUGCAUGGCCCCAUGUGCUCAGCAGUCUGUUUCUACACAGGUAUUGGAGUGGACUUUCUUUCUUGUUCUAGGGGUUUAGAAGUGUAGUUUAAAAACUUGUUAAAUUUAGCUAUCAUGACCUUGUAAAUGUUCACGGACACUAAAAACUAAUGUACCGUAACAGAUUUCUAACUUUUAAUUAUGCUCCAUAGGGAGAAAAAUUAGCUGGCUCGCCCUGAUCUUGAUCCUGACAUGGUAGGAGGGGUUGGCUGUUACAGAUGUCCCACAAAAGUCAUCCACACAAUUAUUGUGGUGGGAAAAUUAUCUGAAGAAUGAUUUAUUGACUAUGAAACCCUCACAUGAACCUGGGCGGGAGCAAGACCCUGGAUGUGCCUUGCUAUGGCAAUGCUUUAGAGGAAAUUUGAAGGAAUGAUGCAGCAUCCAUAUACUUGACACUAUAUCCAUGUUUCCAUAGAAGGGGAAGAAAAAAAAAAAAGACGACAACGACCUAAAACCAGCGUGUUGAAUCUGUUGUGCAACUGAAAAAAAAGUGGUGCAAUAUCUGCAGGGACAUGCAUUUUCAUUUGCAGAGCAAAUCUUCGGCUAAGGACGAGCAGAACAUGCAGUAAAUAAAAUUUUAAAAAGCACUGCCUUGCAAUAGGGAUAAUGGCCUGCCACACAGGUGUCUCUUAUUCCUCAUACAACGUGAAGCAAAAGAGAGGUUAUGCAACAUCACGCAGCCACUAAUUCUUUCUUCCUUGGAGAGCAUAUCAUCAGCUUAAACAUUUGGAAACUGUUUGUCCAGUGUCCCAAAGGACAACAGAAAGAAGGGGAUUAAUGGAGUUGAGUCUUGGGAAGACAGUUGUGGCCUACAGCAAAGAUGAAGGUGAGGGCUCGACUUUGUAAAUCCACCAUUAAAGGAGAGGUCUCUGUUUCUGCAAAUUGCAAAUCCACCAUUAAAGGAGAGGUCUCUGUUUCUGCAAAUCCAGUGUUGAAUGAAAGGUUCGGUGUCUGCAAACCCAACGUUGAAAGAGAGGCCUCUGUGUCUACAAAUUCUUAGUUGAGAGACCUCUGUGUCUGCAAAUCCAACAUUGAAAGAGAGGCCUCCAGGUCUGCAAAUACAGCGUUGAGGGCUCCAUUUCUGCAAAUCCAGUGCUGAAGAGAGGCCUUGAUUUCUGCAAAACCAGCAUUGAAGGAGAGGUCUCUUUCUCCAAAUCCAACCUUGAAGAAGAGAAAGAGUUCAGUUUCUGCAAAUCCAAUGUUGAAGGAGAAGGCUCGGUAUCUGAAAAUCCAAUUUUGAAGGACAGGGCUUGGUUUCUGCAAAGCCAACAUCGAAAGGGAGAGACAGGGGUCGGUUUCUGCAAAUGCAAGGUUGAAGGAGAGGGUCUCAUUUCUGCAAAUCCAGCAUUGAAGAGGUCUCUGUUUCUGCAAAUCCAAUGUUGAAGGAGAGGUUUCUAGAAAUCCAACAUUGAAGUCAAGGUCUCGGCGUCUGCAAAUCCAGCGUUGAAAGCCAAGGGGGAUGAUACAGCAGAAAAGAAGUGCGCACACCGGAACUAAAACAACUGGCUGAACAUGGCUUGUUGGCUGGUGAGUUUUGCUCCUCCCCCAUUAUUAUUAAUAGGGAUUAGUUUUUCCAGACCCCUGAGUCUCAAGUAGACUCUUCUCGACUCCUCCACCCAACAUCUAGAGAGAAGUUAGAAAGUAAAACUGUGAUCGUAUAUAGCAAAAAGGAUGAUGGAAGCAAAUAAAUUUGUAUACCAAAAGUCAAAAAAUGCCAAAUAUUGCUUUAAUCUCUUAAGCAUGUGAAGUUACUACCAAUAAAAUUAAUCCAAACUAUUA